rnacentral:rRNA from 1 species
AUUGAACGCUGGCGGCAGGCUUAACACAUGCAAGUCGAGCGGGGGAAGGUAGCUUGCUACCGGACCUAGCGGCGGACGGGUGAGUAAUGCUUAGGAAUCUGCCUUUUAGUGGGGGACAACAUCUCGAAAGGGAUGCUAAUACCGCAUACGUCCUACGGGAGAAAGCAGGGGAUCUUCGGACCUUGCGCUAAUAGAUGAGCCUAAGUCGGAUUAGCUAGUUGGUGGGGUAAAGGCCUACCAAGGCGACGAUCUGUAGCGGGUCUGAGAGGAUGAUCCGCCACCCUGGGACUGAGACACGGCCCAGAGUCCUACGGGAGGCAGCAGUGGGGAAUAUUGGACAAUGGGGGGAACCCUGAUCCAGCCAUGCCGCGUGUGUGAAGAAGGCCUUAUGGUUGUAAAGCACUUUAAGCGAGGAGGAGGCUACUUUAGUUAAUACCUAGAGAUAGUGGACGUUACUCGCAGAAUAAGCACCGGCUAACUCUGUGCCAGCCGCCGCCGUAA